AUUGCACAAUGGGCGCAAGCCUGAUGCAGCGACGCCGCGUGUGGGAUGAAGGGGCUACGCCUCGUAAACCACUGUAGCUCGGGACGAAAAACGCCUUAGAGGCGUUAGACGGUACCGGGAACGUAAGGGUCGGCUAACUACGUGCCAGCAGCCGCGGUAAUACGUAGGACCCAAGCGUUGUCCGGAUUUACUGGGUGUAAAGGGUGCGUAGGCGGAUGGGUAAGUCAGGGGUGAAAGUCUGCAGCUUAACUGUAGAAUUGCCUUCGAUACUGCGCAUCUUGAGUGGGGGAGAGGUUGAUGGAAUUCCAGGUGUAGCAGUGAAAUGCGUAGAUAUCUGGAAGAACACCAGUGGCGAAGGCGGUCAACUGGUCCAUAACUGACGCUCAUGCACGAAAGAGUGGGGAGCAAACA
rnacentral:rRNA from 1 species